rnacentral:rRNA from 1 species
GGCCCGCACAAGCGGUGGAGUAUGUGGUUUAAUUCGAUGCAACGCGAAGAACCUUACCAGGGUUUGACAUCCUGCGAAUCUCUUGGAAACGAGAGAGUGCCUUCGGGAACGCAGUGACAGGUGGUGCAUGGCUGUCGUCAGCUCGUGUCGUGAGAUGUUGGGUUAAGUCCCGCAACGAGCGCAACCCACGUCUUUAGUUGCCAGCAUUUAGUUGGGCACUCUAGAGAGACUGCCGGUGAUAAACCGGAGAAGGUGUGGAUGACGUCAAGUCAUCAUGCCCCUUACAUCUGGGCUACACACGUACUACAAUGCUACGGACAAAGGGCUGCAAGUUCGCGAGGACAAGCAAAUCCUCAACUUUCGUCGUAGUUCGGA